AACUCAGAAGUGAAACGCCGUAGCGCCGAUGGUAGUGUGGGGUCUCCCCAUGCGAGAGUAGGGAACUGCCAGGC
rnacentral:rRNA from 2 species